GUACACGAUGUGUUGUCAAGUAAUUUGAUGGAUUCCGUUGACUGGUGUGACAAUAAACGUGCAAUUGUGUGAGUUUUAUUGUUCUUUCAAGGGGGGGUAGAGUAACACCCAACGCUUUUCCGCGUAUGAUAAUCGCGUAUAUGAGUUUCGAGAUACUGAACACAGUGCGCAGUCUGCCUUUGAAAAACUUGGCCUCAAGUAUGUGUUAUCGACGUAUUUUUAUUGAGGAAAUAGUUAGGGUCCACUAAGAAAAUGUUAGAAGCACUAGGAAUAGUAUGAGGUAAUAAUCUGAGAUGGACUGAAAAACGCCCGGAAAUUUGACAUCUGAUGGCUGUUAAAUCAGAAGAUCAGAAGAUGGGCUAGAGUUUUUAGACAGGUAUGUACCGCCCCCACCUCACGACACCGAGCUACCGGAUUCGUCUAUACACAUCGUUUCAGAUUGGACUGGGGGAGUGAUUAAUGAGACCGAGUAUCCAAUGAGAAAGCUUGGAUAUUUACGAUUUUAUCGACAACGAGAGAAUAUCCUGAGUCAAAUGACCUGGGGAAACAAUGAGGUACUGGAGUAUCUCGAGCGUAAAUUCACCGAGAUAUCUCUCGUCACGGCCCUUUCAUUUGAAAAUACGGUGAAAUGUACAAUAGAUCGCAUCAUUUUAUUGACGAUAAGAAAUCAAUGACCAUAGAUUUAAAAAAUCUCGCAAUAUUCAACCUCUCAUCUAUACGAGACCGAUUUGAAACGAGUCUCAAGAGAAAUUUCAUUUUAAUUCCAUUUUCUUUUCACUGGCUUUUGUACUUCGACGCCGAAUCCCCCGAAGCCAAAAAAAAUAUCAUAAAAAUUACGUGAAAGUUACGCGUCAUUAAUUGUUAUGAACAAAAA